rnacentral:rRNA from 1 species
GAUGAACGCUGGCGGCGUGCCUAAUACAUGCAAGUCGAGCGAACGGACGAGAAGCUUGCUUCUCCGAUGUUAGCGGCGGACGGGUGAGUAACACGUGGAUAACCUACCUAUAAGACUGGGAUAACUUCGGGAAACCGGAGCUAAUACCGGAUAAUAUUUUGAACCGCAUGGUUCAAAGGUGAAAGACGGUCUUGCUGUCACUUAUAGAUGGAUCCGCGCUGCAUUAGCUAGUUGGUAAGGUAACGGCUUACCAAGGCAACGAUGCAUAGCCGACCUGAGAGGGUGAUCGGCCACACUGGAACUGAGACACGGUCCAGACUCCUACGGGAGGCAGCAGUAGGGAAUCUUCCGCAAUGGGCGAAAGCCUGACGGAGCAACGCCGCGUGAGUGAUGAAGGUCGUCGGAUCGUAAAACUCUGUUAUUAGGGAAGAACAUAUGUGUAAGUAACUGUGCACAUCUUGACGGUACCUAAUCAGAAAGCCACGGCUAACUACGUG